UACCUCAAAUGUGAACAGCCCCGAGAGUCCGGACGACGGGGUUCAGCACCGCAAUGGUCACCAAGUGGAGCGCACCAUCGACCCGGAGGACGUGGAAGCGGAGGUUUUCGACUGGGUGCUUACCCACCUCGAGCCCAGGCAGUGGCCCGUGGGUCUGAGCACAGUCUUGGCAAAGACCGUAGCACACCAGAUGAACACAUCCCUGAAGCUGAAGGCUGGGGGCUACACAGAUGAAGACUUGGCUGUUAGCAGACUUCGAGCCACUGCAAUGGAGGCCCUGGCUGAGCAGUGUGCCCUCUGGAGGGAACAGCCCGAACUGGCUCAAGAACUGCCCCACACACCUGCUGCAUCCCUGCCUUUGUCGGCGUAUGGAGUGCGCAACAACAGGCGCAAGAUGGAAGAUCGUCACCUGGCUCUUCCAGACCUCAACUUUGCUCUAGGACUUCAGGGCCUUCCUCAGUACAGUUACUAUGCAGUUUUUGAUGGUCAUGCUGGUGUAGAGGCAGCUGACUAUGCGACCGCUCACCUUCACCGAAACAUAGCUGUGCAACCGGACUUUGUCACCGAUCCAGUGAAUGCCGUUCGUGAAGGCUUCCUCCUGACGGACCGAAACUUUCUACAGCGUUCAUCAAGAGAGGGCCUCAAGAGUGGCUGCACGGCUGUCUGCUGCCUGGUGCGUGAGCAGCGGCAACUUGUUGUAGGCUGGCUUGGCGACUCGCAGGCCAUCUUGGUCCGGAAAGGCAUCCCCAUACCCUUGGUCAACCCCCACAAGCCCGAGAGAGAGGAUGAAAGAAAAAGGAUAGAAGAACUUGGAGGAGUAGUCCUACUGAUGGGCAUCUGGAGGGUAAACGGCGCACUUGGCGUGUCAAGAGCCAUCGGAGAUGCCGAGCAUAAGCCAUUUGUAACCAGUGAGCCAGAUGUGGUGAGCAUGGACCUUGAUGGCACCGAAGACUUCCUUGUCUUGGGUUGCGACGGUCUUUGGGACCAGCUGAGCCCCAAGAAUGUGGCAUCGAGAGUGUACCACGCAGUUCUUGAGGACCCGGAGAGUGCACCCUAUGUGUCCCACACUCUCGUGCAGACGGCCAGAGACAUGGGCUCAUCUGACAACAUCACAGCCAUAGUUGUCUUCCUGCGUGAUCCUCGCGACUUUAAGCCUUGCGUUCUGGACAUUGUAGACUACUUCCCAAAUCCAGUGCCUGGAAACGAGGUGCCAGCAACACCGGCCGAAGAUGCAAAGGAGGCCUUCAAUGCGAGCGAAUUCGAUGCUUCCAGGUUCAACAGCAACGGCUACGGAGCCCACUUAUUCGAUGCUGAAGCUGUGAAUUCCCACACCUAUGAGCAUGCCGCCGAAACUGAAAUGCUUCAGGUGGCCUCUGAUGUGGUUCAAGGAACGAUCGAAACAGCGCUGCAUAGAGUCAAUGAAGAUGUCAUCACUGCUGGCCAAAUUGUCGAUCAAGUGCACCUCCUUCACACUGAAGAAAGUGGAAAGUUCUCAGAUUUACCUGAGCAGUUUCACGGUGCCAUCCCAACUGAUGGCAGUCUGGAAGACAAGUUUGAUCAACCCGACGGCAUCUCGCAUGCUGCUAAUGGAUACGGUGACAACAUACCAGAACGGCAGGCUGUGCACCACAACCCGUUCGAUGACGAAGGCUAUGGGCAUGACCUCGAGACAGCCGAAUGCCUUCAAAGCUCUGGUAUUGGAGGGACCCUGGAAGAAAGUGGGACUGAAAGUGCGGAGCGGUUCUCUUCCUUCGCAGAAGGAGCUAAUGAGGCUAGCAGCCAACUUGAAAUGCCUCAGGAACAGACUUUCUGUACAGCACCAAGUCCAACACAGCAGCAUCACGAGUUCGAUACUAGUUUCGACCAGGAAGUUGAUGCUAGGCAGCCUUCUCCAGUUGGCCAACAUAUGCUGCCCCAAGAUCCACUGCUCGCUGCUGGUGACCUUGUUAGGGCUCCUGCUGAACCUGCAGCAUCGAGAGAGGCUGAGCUUCCAGACGAAGGAGUUGAUGUGAGCACUCUUCCUGAGGAUGUCCAGGAAAUAGAGGCAGCAAAAGAGCAACAUGGGGCAUCAGCCAUUCAGGAUGAGUGCCUUAGUACAUUACCAGAAGACCAACAAGAUUGCAAGCUUGCACAGCUCUGUGACAUGGAUUCUGUUGUUUACCAGAUGCUGCUGAACAUGUUGCUGCAGUUGCUGAGGCCACUCGGGCAGUACGUGAUGCUGAAACCAUAGGUAUGGAACAUUCAGACGAUAUCCAUGGCAACAUGCUGUCACCUGGUAACAACCAGGAAGGAGUGCAACAGCUUGAUCACUUGUAUGAAAAUGCGCAACAGUCUGAUCUCAACAAAGAGGAAAUGCAGCUAGCACAGCCGUUGGAGCCCGAGCACGUCAAGGAUGGCACAGAUGCCGAUAUGGCUGCCAGUGGACUUAGUUAUAAUCAGCCCCUUAGCCUCCAGUCGGAUGACCUUGUGUCUAUUGACCUUAACAGCUCAGCCAUGCAGUCACUUGCAGAGGCGAGUGCGCCUCCUCAUGCAGCAGAUAGUGCUUUUAUUUGUGAGACUGUUGCAGUGCCGCAUGAAGACACAAGCAUGGCAUAUGUCACAAGCGAAAAUGCCCAAAAUGAGCAGCCUGUCUGCGAAACAUUGGAGAGCCUUGGUACGGACGACGCUGAUGACACCUCUUUGGGUGGUUCUGCGGAGUCCAUUGUUGAGAAAGUCACUGCCGAGCCUGUCCAGCAAGAUAGUGCUGUUAUCUUUUGCGAGCUCAAAGAAUCUCCUCCUGUGGAGAACAUUCUCAAUGUGCAGUCUGACGAAAGCGAACAAAAAGUUGACGAUCUAUGCUACAAUAUCCCUGUUCAGCAUGCAAGAACAAGUGCCAGCGGAAGUGUCCUACGCAGGUUCCCAAGACAGUUUUGUGCUUGGCAGCCAAGUUUCUGAGCCUUUCGUCCAAGACUCUUUUGCUGUACCUACAAGUACCGAAAACUCCUUCGCCUUAGAACAUCCACCUGAGGAACCCUCCUUGCAGUCUCCAGACUCUCUACUGCAAGUUGAGCCCCAACAACCUGCAACAGCUGCUAUAUCUCCAGUCGGUGAUGCUGAACAGCCUUGUGAGCCGUCGUAUCAGAAUCUUUCCGAGGAGGCACAGAGUCCGCAUCUUCAGUCCCAGAGUCCCGCGAUUGAGGAACAUAUGGAGCAGAAGUCUGUCGCACUUAACGUGGUGCACUGCAUGAGCGAGAACACAAAACCUACGGUUGAUGAAACUCCCGCUCCUGUGGUUGACGUAGGUGCGAUUCCACAGAACAUUCCGGAGGCAGAUGGGGUCACUGACUCGGACUCCGAGAGGGACAAUGAGUGGCGAUUCGUGAAGCCCGUAGAGCCUGUUAUUUCGCAGUUGGCAAAAGAGGCUGGUCAAGUUCCGAUCCAAGGUUCUCAGGCUGCUGAGAUGAUUCAUGCAGAACAGAAGGAAGCAGCCUCUUCUGAACUAGUUCAAAGUACUGCAGAGACUAGUGCUUCCGAGCCAAAGGUUGAUGCUGUGUCAGGACACGAAGCAAGAUUUGUUACCCGAAACAAAAGCCGAAGUUGAUGUUGCAGCUGCUCAGAAGGACACAUUACCCGAACGAAAGGCUAGUGCCGCAAAACUUACUUCCGGUGCAAAGCUCUCACCAGCUGCCCAGAAAACAAAGCCAGCUGCUAAAGCAUCGCCUGCUCCAAAGCCAAGGACAUCCUCCACUGAUAAGCCUGCAGCAAAGCCACUUCCUUCAAAGACAGAACCAUCCUCUAAAGCUACGCCUGCAACUAAGUCUCCUCUGAAAAAGCAGCCUGUGGCUACAAAACCUACCACAGCAACUACGACAGCAAACAGAGCACCACUGCGAGCAGCACCACUGCGAGCAGCACCACUGCGAAAACGAACCUAACCCGCAAGCCCGAGCCACUAAAGCCCAAAUCGGCCACGGCUGCCACCGAUGCACCAACCAAGAAGCCAGUUUCUGCAACCUCAAGGCCUUCGGCUGGAUCCACUAGGCCCGCCCCAUCCAAACCACCAGAAAAGAGCACGGCUCCAGCAUCAAAGGCCAAACCGACAGCACCAUCAUCCACAGCGCCUCGUCCUCGAACAACCAUCGGAUCUGCAUUGACAUCGUCUGCUAGCAAGGCAGAAGUUGGAACUGCCGAAAAGAAGCCCACUACUAAACCGGCCCCAACUCGGCCUCCCAUUUCCAGGACUGCACCAAAAUCUAUGCAGCCUGCCAGCAGUAGCUCUGCACCGAGAGUUGGAUCAAGCACUACGGCGAAUCGUCCUACUACAGCACCCAUUUCGAGGCCUGGAACAACAUCGAGGGUUGGUAGUGCCUCGACUGCCGCAAAGAAGGUGACGGAUGCCGCAAAGAAGGUGACGGAUGCCGGUGCUGCAGCUGUGAAAACAUCUUCCGCGAGGGUUCCAGCAACGCGAGAUGCGAAGCUCGGCAAAGACAGCACCAACCAGCAGCUGGCUGGUGCAAGACGAACGGAAAUAACUCAGAGAAGUGCUGCUAGUAGGACGGCCACCGCGUCAAAAACUGCCGCAACAAAGCCAACGACAACAAGCAAGUAUGCUGCUGUUAGAGCAGUUCCCAAGGGGGGCGGCACCGCUGCUGCCGCAGCAAAAGCUGCUGCUGCUGAAAAUCAAAGCAAUGGAGAACCUGCUGCCAACUGCAAUGGGACACCAGAAGAGAAGGGCACGCUGGAACAGAAAGACAACAAGGAAGCCUUUGCGCCUGCAGGCGAACCAGGCAUCCUGAGCAAUGGCAGCCACCCGGAAAGCGACGAAAUAGCUAAACCCGCUGCCAUUGCGGAAAACAUGCCUGACGUCCCUGCUGUGGAUGUGUAGUUUUACUAUCUUGACUCUCUACUAGUCAUUCUGCUCUAUCCUGUGCUUUUUUUUUAAUCUUGCAACGGUGCAACAGUAUUUUUGACAGCUCCUUUUUACAACGAAAAAUGUGCAGGGACAAAUAAUGAGCAUGCAUGCUACAGAAUUAUAGGUACAAGGUCACUCUCUGUAUGGGAAGUCUUUGAUACUUGCGCACAUCCCUUUUUAUCGAAUCUUUUAAUUUACGCAUUUGAUAAGGUGCAGGUACUGGCUGGCGCUCAAGCCAGAAUUUUUUUUUCCUCUUCCCUGCCCGUUUUACCUAGCGUUAGUUGUAUGCAUAGGCUGUCAUGCCCUGUUCUGAAGUUUGCAAUUUCCUCUUUCUCUCUCGAAGAGAUUGUGCCCAGGUGCGAGUGUAUACCAAAGACUGCUUGGAUGCCUUGCAAGCAUCGUUUUUUUUCGUUAGCCCACUCGCAUCAACUGCGAAGUUGCAAAGGCAUUCUGAAAAGCAGCAAGACGUACUCGCUUCUUGGGCAGGUGUUAUUUAUUUUUGCAUCAAGUGUCCUUAAUGAGAGGAAUGGGAGGGGAUUGCUUUGUUUUAUGCUUACGUGCUUUGACUUGAGGGCUCAGUUGAAAUGCAAUGUGUUGAGCAAUUGUAGCAAAAGUCGACAUUUCGAUGCAUUUACCAAACUGCAUUGUUUUCCCCACUGGCUUGUGGGUUGGUGUAAUCCGUUGCUGAACCUGAAUAUAACGAAGUCUCAUCUUGGGCAAGAUAGUGUUAUACUACGACGAAUGCGUCUCUACACAGGUACUUAGGCAAAGAAAUAUUCGCAAUGUUUCACCAAGUUUGCAUUGUUGCAUGCACAUAUGGUCGAUAAUGCAUACUUUGGGCAACUAUGAAACUAAUUAUUCUCUGCUGUACACUAACAUGUCAUAUCCUGUAUCUGGGUCUUACACCAGCCAUAGUUGAUUUGCUUCGUUAUAUCAAGGUUCAAGUAUUGCUUAGGCCAUGUUGCUAAGUUUCUUUUAAAUUCUUUUCCAGUUACAAUUCAGGUUUCAGUCUCUUCUACCCUGCACGUCGCUGCAGAUGUGUAACAGUCCUCCACAGAGAAGUCCUGCAGUUCUUUAUAGUGAUGUGUUCGGCUUGCAUGUUUUCUAUGCAACAUUUAUAAAUACGGCACACAGAAGUGUUCCAACCCAAUAACCUCUUUGAUAGCACUUUUUCGUGGGGAGUCCCUUGCCUGCAACAUGGGCAAGUUCAUACGUUGUCUAUGACUUAUUUAAAAGUAUGUAUUGCAUCACCUUCUUUUAGGGACCUUUCUUUUUUCUUCUGCGAUACUUUUUACACAUACUUUGCUGAAAUAAAAAAAAAAUUUUAUGAA